AAAGAGGUGGAAAGAAAAGAAUAAUGCUUCAGUGUAAGGUAUAAGAUAUUAUGUUCUUGUCAAAUCACGGAUUUACUUAAUGUGAGAGAAGUGACACUUCUGUUUCUCCAUAAAAUAGUGAUUCGUUUGGACUUUUCGAAAUACUCAUCAAAUCUGAUACUUUCUUAUCACAACUCAUAAACACUUACAGAAACAAAGGAGAAGAUCAGACUUCAGAUACUUCCAAAAGCGGCAGAUUUAGCAAACACUGACCAAUUCGCCUCAAUUGUGCAAUAUGUGUUACCUUCCGGACAUGUGGAAAGAUGGAUAUCAAAGGCCAUCGCACUGUACACCUUGCCCAAAACGUGUUAGAGUAUAAAAAGAUAAUGGUAUUCAUAUAAAAGAAAGUUAAAAUGUUGACAGUGGCAUGAGUGAUAACCUGCAAGAGAAUGAGUGAAAAAUCUACAAGAAUGCAAAAGUCAAAAAGUGGAGAUGAAACAGGAAAGUAAUCAAGGUAUCUGAACAUGGGACUGGAGAACAAAGAGGAUGUAACCAGCACAUAAUGGCAGAAAUUGAAUAAUGGUACAUUAGUUCAGCUUUCUUUUUUAAUUACCUUGUUGGAGAAAGAACAGUGACAGUACAUUUAUUACUUUUGUCUCUAGUUCUGUAUGUGCAUUUUUUUGAAAUUACAUCAUUGUUCAAACUUUGAAAAUUGCAGUAAAAUGAGAGAAUAGUGAUUCAACUCAGGACUUAUUGAGGAAGAUGAUUCAGCAUUAAGAGUUCAGUAAACAAAAUAAUUUAUGAGACACAUGAUAACAGCUUCAAAUAUUUUAUCUAGAAACAGUCAUCCUCUAGGCAGGCAAAUUACUGAAACAAACAAUUUAAUUUCUGAAACAAUAAAAUAAAAUUCUGAUGGUGAUGCUACAAAACUCAAAUUAAUACAAAAGAGCCUAAAAACGAAUUAAAAUAAAACUGUGAAGUGUGAAAAUUGAGUUAGGAAAUAGGAUUUCUGAAAAUUGCGAGACUGUUGAAUUGGAGCUAGGAAAUCAUAUUCUGGCAUCCCAAGAACAGAGCUCCAGUAAUCAGCUUGUUACCAUCAGAAACAAAUUAAAUAAUCAAACUGAAACCACAAAUUCGAAAUAUCACAGAAUUAGGUGACAUAGUCAGUCACAAACAGAAUCCAGUGGCCAGAUUUUUAAUCAAGAGUAACCAGUUUGGAAGUAAAUUUGCAGUGUGAAAUUUCAGAAGUAGAACAUAUCCUAUGUAACAAAGUUGUAUCUGUUAACAAUACUGAGAGACAAAAAUUCGUAUUGUUAAAUAGAACAUUUAGGACAAGACAAUGAAUGUAAGAAUAUUGUGCCAUGUUUGGAGAAAAAUUUGUUUGAUGUCAGAAACAAUUAUAUUAAAUACUGUAUAUGAACAGAUCAUUGCAAAAACAUUUUUUAAGAUGGUUGUAAUGUUUCAUCUGAUAUGCCAGUGAGAAGUUUCCCUGGAGAUGGUAGUUUGCAUACUUUUGAUUUCUUACAAUACUGUAGAGACAAUUUCAUUCCAAAGUUAACUGACAGUCACAAAAUUAAAUUUAUGAAAAAAUAUAUGGAUGGGUAAGCACUGUCUUGGAGAAAUCGAACUUUUACACAAGAUUUAGGAUAUCAAGAUUUUGAAAGUAAUAUCCUUGACACAUUUUGGUUAGAGUUGGAACAGGCUGGAAUUGAAAGUGAAUUUUACAGUGGCUCAAGUUACAUAUGACACAAAUGGGGUAUGAAAGGAUUUUGUAAAAAUCAGUUAAAGAAACCCGUUCAUUUGAACCACACUUUUGACAAACUGAUGCACUGAAAAGAAGGUUACCUGAGGAUGUUCAGUGACACUAAGUAUAUGGGCCUGACGAAUCAGUUGAACAGUUCCUCAAGUAUGUAGAUCAGAUGGGCAGAUAUUUUGAAAGAAAUAAUAGGUAUAGCUUUGGUUCAACUCAUUUCAGAAUGGGAGGUUACAAUAAAGUUGGGGAGAAAAUAAUUAUCAUGGAUGAGUUAAGGUAACAGUCAUAGAACUAAAGUAAGGGGUCCACCAAGAGAAUCUGAUAACAGAGGGACACAAUGUAACAGGGAAUAUGAAUGGCGUAAUAGAAACUGCAAUCAACAUGGACCUCAGCAUUCGAGUCAGGGUGCACAAAUUGAUGAGCCACUAAACUAAUGGUAAUUCUAUUGAAGGUCCACAAUGUGAAAGCAAAUAAUAAUAUAUGCACCAAUAAUCAUAACAGAUAAAGGUGCAAAUAGUGUUUGUAAUGUAAAUUAUGUUAGAGAUGAGGGGAGAAUUAAAAGUACUCAAAAUGAAAGUGUGAAUUAAUUUGUAAUAUAAAUUAUGUUAUUGUUGAGGGAAGAAUUAAAACUGAUAGAAAUAAAAAUAUAGAUUCUUAUUUGUUAGAUUAAAAGAUAAAUUGUUAAAUGAGGAGGAAGAUUAUUCAUUGACAGAGGAAAGUAGAAAUGUAAAUGAAGUUACAAAUGAAAUGUUUAAAUCUAUCACAUGCCCAAAUACUGUGAUGCCCAUAAUUUAGUCAUUGAAAGUGUUCAGAAUAAAUCUGUAUGUGAAUUGUGUAAUUAGCUUUCAGCACUAAAUGCUGAGGUUUGUAAUAAAACAUUUCUGUGCACA